rfam:Nematostella vectensis strain CH2 x CH6 NEMVEscaffold_22_Cont4102, whole genome shotgun sequence.
ACAACGGCUCUUUUAGGAGCCACCACUUCUUAGAAAGUGAAUGAUU